rnacentral:lncRNA from 1 species
GCGACGGAGGGUCGAGGGGGAUGAGGUCUUGAUUCUCUUAAAUUAGCGUUCUUGACAUUUUCUAAGUGUGGGCAUCGGGGAGAUUUGGCGUGUACUUGGGAGCCCGUAACCACCUGGCGAAGAGUUCAAGGCGCCCUGAUGAGAAUAAGAGGCAAACCUGGGCAAGGUGCAGCCCAAAGGGAAUUCUGAAAUGGAGAUGGCUGCAGGAAAAUUUGGAUCCAGAGGUUCCACCAGUGUUUUCAGGAUUUCUCCACCCUUCUUCCAUUUCUCAGUCUGUUACCUCUGCCUGGCUUCAUGCUCAGUCAGGCUUUCUCCACAUCACAGCAAAGUGUCUACUGGUAGCUCCCAAUUCCAGAGAAGGAGGGAACAUCUUUCCUAAGAACCCCUGCAAAAGUCCAGGAGAAUACAGUGCUUGGCCAGGCCCAGGCAAUUGCUUCCCCCUAUACUGGUGUCAGAAGGAAAAAGGCUGAAUUUAUAAACAGCAUUUUCCUACUGGUUUGGAUGCCUGGUGAUUGCUGACUGGAUGCCAUAUCCCCCAGCUGAGGCUGAUCCACAUGGACGACACGGCCCGUCAAGUUCUCUUUGGAAUAGACUGAAAAAACUAUGAACUGUAGUUCCAGACUGUGCCUCUGAUUCCAACUCAGAAUGUACACGUCCUUGAGAAUGCUGAUUUCUCCAUCUCUGCCCUGGGGCAACAUCAGUUCUCUCAGGCGGCUGGACUUUAAGAGAGUAAAUCUUUCAAAAUAUGAGAUCCACAGAAGGAAAAAUGAAGGCCUUGGUGGUGACAAGAUUUUUCUCCACUGCCUUAGACUCAAGGAGUUCCCUCUUGUUAUUUGAGGAAUUUUC